rfam:TPA: Bos taurus chromosome X, whole genome shotgun sequence.
UCCCUAAUAGCUCAGUCAGUAAAUCAUCUGCCUACAAAGCAGGAAACCUAGGUUCGAUUCCUGGGUUGGGAA